CAGAGUUGCAAAACUCCCAACCCUUUGUGAAUCCACUAGACAGUUGCCUCGGCGGGGGGCCCUUCAGGGGGCUGCCCGCCGGAGGACCACUAAACUCUUGUAUUUUUGGCCUCUCUGAGUAAUUCUAAAAUGAAUCA
rnacentral:misc_RNA from 1 species